rnacentral:rRNA from 1 species
UACGUAGGGGGCAAGCGUUGUCCGGAUUUAUUGGGCGUAAAGAGCGUGUAGGCGGCCAUUCAGGUCAGCUGUGAAAACUCGAGGCUCAACCUCGAGACGUCGGUUGAAACCGUUUGGCUAGAGUCCGGAAGAGGAGAGUGGAAUUCCCGGUGUAGCGGUGAAAUGCGCAGAUAUCGGGAAGAACACCCGUGGCGAAGGCGGCUCACUGGCCCGUUACCGACGCUCAGGCGCGACAGCGUGGGGAGCAAACAGG